ACAUGUCAAGUUUUUGCCUAAAUGGAAUUUUCCAAGUGGCAAAAUAGGGGUUUGAAAAUUCCAGGAAAUGGAAGAGUGCACAGUACUUGUCGGAGUACAGUACAAGUGCAUGGACAUAGAUAGGGAUGCAUGCCAAUGCACCAGGGGGUAUAUGGUUGAAUUUAAGUCUUAAGUUUGACGUGGUUUGUCCAAACUGUCUCUUGUCUAUCCACCUGUUUGAAAUUGCCACAUCAUCCUGCCACGUGGCAUAAUAGGAGUCCCAUGGAGAGAAGCCUCUCUACACUGGACCGUG